rnacentral:lncRNA from 1 species
GGUAUUGCAUAUUGCGUCUAUCGUUAUAAUGAACAUUUGGAAGCCAUUCAUGAGAAGUCUAGAGGACAGAUUGAAGGCAAAAUUCGAACAAUUAACAAGCAAAUUGAGCACCAAAAACAAGAUCCCCUUCCAUAUCCUUGGUUGCAUCAAUUUGCGUUUGGAGAUGAGCAAUUGCCCCCCUCCAUAGCCUGCUCCAGCAACUAGUUCUGAUACUUUUACAAAUCCUCUUAAAUAUGCUAUCAACCCUAGAAAUCUUUUUGUAUCUAUGUUGGUGCUGUUAUAAAUCCUCUUCAACUUGCUAUCAACCCUGUUGGAGAAGCUAUUACCCACCUGAUCUGUUUAAUUCAAUAGAACCAACACAAGGUUAAUAACACGCUGAAGAGAAUUUGCAAUGGACCAACAUCUAUGGCUACAUGGUGGGUAUCAUAUAUACAUAAUUGAUAAUAGGGUUGAGAGGAUUUGCAAAAAGAUCAAAACAUGAAGUAAUUGUUCAUCCCCAAGCACAAAUUUAUGCAACUAAGGAUAUGGAAGUGGAUCACGGCGCUCAAUUUGCUUGUUAAUUGAUUGAAUUUUGUCUUUAAUCUGUCCUGCAGACCUUCCAUGAAUGACCUCUAAAUGUUCAUUAUAACAAUAGACGAAAUAUGGAAUACCAUAACAUGACCAAUCAAAAAUGAUAGCAUCUUCAUGUUCAUCCGUCCACCAAAAAUAUCCUUUAGAAGCUGGUGCCAAUACUUAAGGAUUUCGAAGGGGCACUUCCUCAGUCCCAAUGACCAUUAUCACCCCUGUAACUAUAACAAAUUUUGUUGGGUUGAGGAAUUAAAUCUACAAAAUUGACAAGAAUCCUGCCAACGGUGUCGCAACUGUUAUCUUGUGCUCUAUGCCCGUAUAAACGAAAUGUCCAGUUACCAUAUCAACUCUAAACAUCAGAUACCAUAGGCAACCAUACAAGUAAUGAUGAAUUAAAAAGAAAGAUUUGAACCAUUUUGGAAGAAUGAAGUGCAAUCUCAGCCGAAAGAUGGUGAAUUUGUUAAUAAUCACGAGUUAUUCAGUGAUGGAACAAUUAAAUUGCAUCACAGAUUGCAGGAUUUCAAUUCCAAUCAAACAUUGAUUUGAAACAGAAACCAAAAUCAGUAAAUGAAGCACAAGCAAGAGAGAUCAGAUGGUAGUGCAUGUAAUAUGAUCAUCAUCCAAAUACAGAAAUGGUGGAUACAUAUCCUCACAUCUCCCUUGCAAAACACUACAUCAGAUUCAAAAACUGUCAUUCAAAAUUCAAAUAAAUAACAGAAAAGCAUCGUCCUUUCUCCAUGAAGGGAUCAGAGAUACGUCAAAUCACCAGCUUCCAUAAGGAAGUAAGACUGGGUGUCAUAACAAUACAUCAUCACAUCCCAUUCAAAUGAAAAUAAAAAUAAAACAUUAAACCAGCUGAAAUCAAAGCUAGAAAAUUAGAUUUUGAAGAACACAGGAUCAGACAGAUAUGUCAAUCACCAUCUCGCAAAAGAAUUGCGAGUAAGACUGGGGCGACAAAAUUCAAUCAUCAUUUUCACAAACUUGAAACCUAGAUUGGAGAAAGAGGAUUACAGCGAUGAACACCAUAGCCGCCGAUGGUUUGGAAGUUUCAGAUCAAGCUCUGGCGAUGUAUAUAUAUAAGCUGGACUAGGGUUUUUUUCAGAUUGGGAGAUUUGGGUUUUAUGAAGAUCGCC